CACCUGCUGGUACCACUAAAUUCUUCCUCUGGUCAGACCCCCAGGCACAAAUUUUUCUCCCCCACAGUACCCAUUUCUCAUAUUUCCCUCCAGCCACUCUUCACCCAGUUUUAUACGCCAUGCAGCCAUAAAUUUCCCUGCAAUUUUCAACCUUUACAUACAGCCCUAUUUCCUCCAUAAAUCCUGUUCUUAAACACCCAAACACUAGGACAAAAAAAUUUAUAUUCUUCUAUUAGUCUCAUUAAUUAAUUAUAUAUAUUAUUUCAUCCCAAAUGACCAAAAAUCAAUAUUAUUACACACACGUUCACAGUUUUCCAUAUACAUAUAGAUCGUUCAGUUAGCAAUUCUUUCCGGGGCAUCAACCCCUCGCCGAAUCAUAUGGGCCCAUAACAUCACAGUAAUUCGCUCCCUCAUUGGAGCACGACAGUCAACUGCCUUCACAACAAUUUCGGCCAGAAGCCCGGCCACUCACAGACACAACGCCUCUUUCUCUCCGGAGCAUCAACCCCCCGGACCCAUCAAAUGGGCCAUGCGUCAACACUGCCAUUGAUAAUUCGACUAGAAUCUAGCCACUCACGCACCCGUUAUUAUAAGCUUGUUUAACCACACUCUACUUCCCUUAUUAAGAAAUGAGACACACCUCUGUCACUUCCCAGUACAGACCCUACCCCUUAAUUACGCAGACCACCAUUCUUCUACCCUUCUUUCAGCUUCUGAGUUCCUUUGUUACCCUCUCUUCUUUCCUAAUUUCUACAGAUUUACCACCACUGUCAUCAUUUUAAUUUUCAUUUUCAUUCUCGUGCCACUCUAUUAUUCAAUUUUUUCGGAUCAACAGUUCCAUCUCCUAGCAUUUCUUCUUCUAUUUAUCACCUCCCAACCAAUUUACAGUUCUGCUCUACUUGACACUCCCCAACACUCACCGGUACCAUGUUAUGCUAAAACAUAUCAGAAAUUCAAUGUAUAACUUUCUAAUUUCGAAUUGAGUCAGUCAAAUUUUAACUUUCACUUGUUUGCGAUGACGGUGCUGAGCCGCUCCACAUUUUACUCGCUCGCUCCUCGCACGGCCUCCUUCUAAGCUAGCCUUCACUGCUGCUUCGUCCGUACUCUCCUUUUCUGCUCCCCUGAAUGAGAAUCUAUUCUUCUCUCUCCCUUCCAUUCUUUCGUCAUC
rnacentral:lncRNA from 1 species